GUGCCUAAUACAUGCAAGUCGACGGACAGAUGGGAGCUUGCUCCCUGAUGUUAGCGGCGGACGGGUGAGUNUCACGUGGGUAACCUGCCUGUAAGACUGGGAUAACUCCGGUAAACCGGGGCUAAUACCGGAUGGUUGUUUGAACCGCAUGGUUCAGACAUAAAAGGUGGCUUCGGCUACCACUUACAGAUGGACCCGCGGCGCAUUAGCUAGUUGGUGAGGUAACGGCUCACCAAGGCGACGAUGCGUAGCCGACCUGAGAGGGUGAUCGGCACACUGGGACUGAGACACGGCCAGACUCCUACGGGAGGCAGCAGUAGGGAAUCUUCCGCAAUGGACGAAAGUCUGACGGAGCAACGCCGCGUGAGUGAUGAAGGUUUUCGGAUCGUAAAGCUCUGUUGUUAGGGAAGAACAAGUGCCGUUCAAAUAGGGCGGCACCUUGACGGUACCUAACCAGAAAGCCACGGCUAACUACGUGCCAGCAGCCGCGGUAAUACGUAGGUGGCAAGCGUUGUCCGGAAUUAUUGGGCGUAAAGGGCUCGCAGGCGGUUUCUUAAGUCUGAUGUGAAAGCCCCCGGCUCAACCGGGGAGGGUCAUUGGAAACUGGGGAACUUGAGUGCAGAAGAGGAGAGUGGAAUUCCACGUGUAACCGGUGAAAUGCGUAGAGAUGUGGAGGACACCAGUGGCGAAGGCGACUCUUGGGCUGUACUGACGCU
rnacentral:rRNA from 1 species